GACGAACGCUGGCGGCGUGCCUAAUACAUGCAAGUCGAACGCACUCUCGAUAGGUUGGCGACGCUUGCUUCUGAUUGGUAACAGUGGGGUGCGUGUCGGACGGGUGCGUAACACGUGGGUAACCUGCCCUAAAGUGGGGGCUAACAUCUGGAAACAGAUUCUAAUACCGCAUACAACAUAGCACCGCGUUCUGCAAGGUUGAAAGAUAGUUUCGGCUAUCACUUUAGCAUGUACCCGAGGUGAAUUAGUUAGUUGGUAAGGUAAAGGCUCACCAAGACCACGAUGCAUAGCCGACCUGAGAGGGUAAUCGGCCACACUGGGACUGAGACACGGCCCAGACUCCUACGGGAGGCAGCAGUAGGGAAUCUUCCGCAAUGGACGAAAGUCUGAUGGAGCAACGCCGCGUGAGUGAAGAAGGUUUUCGGAUCGUAAAACUCUGUUGUUGGAGAAGAACGUAUUUGAUAGUAACUGAGCAGGUAGUGACGGUACCCAACCAGAAAGCCACGGCUAACUACGUG
rnacentral:rRNA from 1 species